UUCACACUUAGAAAAAAAAAAUUGCGCCCGACCCCAAAACUGAAACACAAACCCUAAGCUCAGUGUCGACCUCCAUUCUCAACCCAGACUCGAGCUCCUCUUCCUGCUCCUCACCAUCACAAUCCUCCCUUCUCCAUUUUCAUGCGGAAUCUGAAGCGCCGAGAUCCCGACCUCGAUCUAAAAUUGAAGUAACAGCUCUGAAUCCUGACCCCGGCCUCGAUCUGAGAUUGGCAGAGUUGAAGAAAUUAAAGAGGAAUGGUUCUGUCCUCUCAAGCCCCACCGAAGUCGGGGUUGGAGCCCUAAUCCCGAACACAGCAACCCAGCUGCACUCAACUGCGCCGUUUCUGACUCUCUCCGUGACUACGUGUCUCCGUCUCCGCCGUUUCUGACUCUCCGUCUCAGCCUCUCCGGUCUCCCGUCUCCGAGUCUCCGUCUCCAAGCUCCAGAUUGGAGCUACUUUCCCUCUCAACUCAAACCCUAGCCCCUCCUCCUCUUGUCUCACAGCUCGCAUGAGGCUACUGAAUGCGAUCAUGGCCGACGUCGUCACCCUGUCGUGUGCUCGUUGCAGCAAACCCGCCAAUCUUCAGUGUCCCAAGUGUGUGGAAUUGAAGUUUCCUCGUGAAGAUGCCGCUUUCUGCACUCAGGAUUGUUUUAAGGCUUUGUGGAGCUUGCAUAAAUCGGUACAUUUAAAGGCCAAGCAGUCC